UAACUCCUACGGGACGCAGCAGUAGGGAAUCUUCCACAAUGGGCGAAAGCCUGAUGGAGCAACGGCGCGUGGGAGAAGAAGGUCUUCGGAUCGUAAAACCCUGUUGUUAGAGAAGAAAGUGCGUGAGAGUAACUGUUCACGUUUCGACGGUAUCUAACCAGAAAGCCACGGCUAACUACGUGCCAGCAGCCGCGGUAAUACGUAGGUGGCAAGCGUUAUCCGGAUUUAUUGGGCGUAAAGGGAACGCAGGGGGUCUUUUAAGUCUGAUGUGAACGCCUUCGGCUUAACCGGAG
rnacentral:rRNA from 1 species